CCCAACAUCUACCAGUAGUCAUAUGCUUGUUCUCAAAGAUUAAGCCAUGCCUCGUACGGUGAAACCGCGAAUGGCUCAUGAAAUCAGUCGAGGUUCCUUAGAUGAUCCAUUUCUACUUGGAUAACUGUGGCAAUUCUAGAGCUAAUACAUGCCUCGAGCCGGCGAGGCAUCUUUCAAAUGUCUGCCUUAUCAACUGUCGAUGGUACGUGAUAGGCCUACCAUGUUGACAACGGGGAAUCAGGGUGUGAUUCCGGAGAGGGAGCAUGAGAAACGGAUACCACAUCCAAGGAAGGCACCAGGCGCGCAACUUACCCAAUCCCAGCUCGGGGAGGUAGUGACGAAAAAUAGCAAUACGGAACUCUUUUGAGGCUCCGCAAUUGGAAUGAGUACACUUUAAACCCUUUAACGAGGAUCUAUUGGAGGGCAAGUCUGGUGCCAGCAGCCGUGGUAAUUUCAGCUCCAAUAGCGUAUAUUAAAGUCGUUGUGCUUAAAAAGCUCGUAGUUGCAUCUGAGGCAUGGUCGUGCGGUUCGUCUCGCGACGGUCACUGCGCGAAGCCUGAGCGUGCGCGGCUCUUCGCAGGGUCGUCUUCGCUAGACGAACAACUGCGAAAGCAUUUGCCAAGCAUAUUUUCAUUAGUCAAGAACUAGUCAGAGGUUCGAAGACGAUUAAAUACUGUCAUUGUUCUGACCAUAAACGAUGCCAACUAGCGUUGUGCAAGUGUCGCUUCAUCGACUCUGAAACCAAAUUUUUCGGGUUCCAGGGGAAGUAUGGUUGCAAAGCUGAAACUUAAAGGAAUUGACGGAAGGUCACCACCAGGAGUGGAGCCUGCGGCUUAAUUUGAUUCAACACGGUAAAACACACCCAGUCCGCACACUGUAAGCAUUGACAGAUUGAUAUCUUUUUCUUGAUUCGGUGGGUGGUGGCGCAUGGCCGUUCUUAGGUGGUGGAGCGAUUUGUCUGAUUAAUUCCGAUAACGGGCGAGUCUCUAGCCUGUUAAAUAGUUCACCGAUUCUUCACGCAUCGGUGCUAACUUCUUAGAGGGAGAAGUGGCGUUUAGCCACAAGAGAUUGAGCAAUAACAGGUCUGGCUGCCUUUAGAAGGAAUCAAGGUGGAUGUGACCAUGCUUUGAAAACAGUGCGAACCCCUUGAACGUCCUUCGUGAUAGGGAUUGGGGGCUUGAAAUUCUUCUUAUCAACGAGGAAUUCCCAGUAAUUACGUCGAUGCCCUUUCUACACACCGCCUGUCACUACUACCGAGUGAACGGUUUAGUGAGGGGUAGCUGGCCUCCGCGUCGAGAGUCUGAAAAAGUCUAUCAAACCGGAGGGAAAGCUUUUGCCGAGUCAGGCUCU
rnacentral:rRNA from 1 species